rfam:Salmo salar isolate Sally breed double haploid chromosome ssa21, whole genome shotgun sequence.
UACACUCACUACUGUAAGUCGCUCUGGAUAAGAGUGUCUGCUAAAUGACUAAAU